rnacentral:ribozyme from 1 species
CUCCCGGAGCAUCCGGGAGACUCUAAUGCAGGCGGCAGGGAUGCCAGGCGGUCACAACCCCGUAGUAAUGCAGAGUGGAGU